CGGGGAUUAGCUCAGUAGGUAGAGCGCCUGGUUUGGGACCAGGAGGCCGUCGGUUCGAGACCGGCAUCCCCGA
rnacentral:tRNA from 1 species